CCCCUUUUGUGAUGAACUUUGCUUUGUGCCAUCGUGUCUGGGCCACUGAUGCUCUAUGAUGGUAGUGAGGAUCUGAGGGG
rnacentral:snoRNA from 2 species